UAAGUGACUAAGCGUACACGGUGGAUGCCUGGGCAGUCAGAGGCGAUGAAGGACGUACUAACUUGCGAUAAGCGCAGAUAAGGCAGUAAGAGCCGUUUGAGUCUGCGAUUUCCGAAUGGGGAAACCCAACUGCAUAAGCAGUUACUGUUAACUGAAUCCAUAGGUUAACAGAGCAAACCGGGGGAACUGAAACAUCUAAGUACCCCGAGGAGAAGAAAUCAACCGAGAUUCCGGUAGUAGCGGCGAGCGAACCUGGAUUAGCCCUUAAGCACUCGUUGAAGUAGGUGAACAAGCUGGAAAGCUUGGCGAUACAGGGUGAUAGCCCCGUAACCGACGCUUCAUCGAGCGUGAAAUCGAGUAGGGCGGGACACGUGAUAUCCUGUCUGAAUAUGGGGGGACCAUCCUCCAAGGCUAAAUACUCCUGACUGACCGAUAGUGAACCAGUACCGUGAGGGAAAGGCGAAAAGAACCCCUGUGAGGGGAGUGAAAUAGAACCUGAAACCGUGUACGUACAAGCAGUAGGAGCACCUUCGUGGUGUGACUGCGUACCUUUUGUAUAAUGGGUCAGCGACUUAUAUUCAGUGGCAAGGUUAACCGUAUAGGGGAGCCGUAGCGAAAGCGAGUCUUAACUGGGCGUUCAGUCUCUGGAUAUAGACCCGAAACCGGGUGAUCUAGCCAUGGGCAGGUUGAAGGUUGAGUAACAUCAACUGGAGGACCGAACCGACUAAUGUUGAAAAAUUAGCGGAUGACUUGUGGCUAGGGGUGAAAGGCCAAUCAAACUCGGAGAUAGCUGGUUCUCCCCGAAAGCUAUUUAGGUAGCGCCUCGGACGAAUACUACUGGGGGUAGAGCACUGUUAAGGCUAGGGGGUCAUCCCGACUUACCAACCCUUUGCAAACUCCGAAUACCAGUAAGUACUAUCCGGGAGACACACGGCGGGUGCUAACGUCCGUCGUGGAGAGGGAAACAACCCAGACCGCCAGCUAAGGUCCCAAAGUAUUGCUAAGUGGGAAACGAUGUGGGAAGGCUCAGACAGCUAGGAUGUUGGCUUAGAAGCAGCCAUCAUUUAAAGAAAGCGUAAUAGCUCACUAGUCGAGUCGGCCUGCGCGGAAGAUGUAACGGGGCUAAGCAAUACACCGAAGCUGCGGCAAUAUCUUUUAGAUAUUGGGUAGGGGAGCGUUCUGUAAGCCGUUGAAGGUGGAUCGUAAGGUUUGCUGGAGGUAUCAGAAGUGCGAAUGCUGACAUGAGUAACGACAAGGGGGGUGAAAAACCUCCCCGCCGGAAGACCAAGGGUUCCUGUCCAACGUUAAUCGGGGCAGGGUGAGUCGACCCCUAAGGCGAGGCUGAAAAGCGUAGUCGAUGGGAAACGGGUUAAUAUUCCCGUACUUCUUACAAUUGCGAUGGGGGGACGGAGAAGGCUAGGUGGGCCAGGCGACGGUUGUCCUGGUUCAAGUGCGUAGGCUUAAGAGUUAGGUAAAUCCGGCUCUUUCUAAGGCUGAGACACGACGUCGAGCUACUACGGUAGUGAAGUCAUUGAUGCCAUGCUUCCAGGAAAAGCCUCUAAGCUUCAGAUUGUAAGGAAUCGUACCCCAAACCGACACAGGUGGUCGGGUAGAGAAUACCAAGGCGCUUGAGAGAACUCGGGUGAAGGAACUAGGCAAAAUGGUACCGUAACUUCGGGAGAAGGUACGCUCUUGAUGGUGAAGUCCCUCGCGGAUGGAGCUGACGAGAGUCGCAGAUACCAGGUGGCUGCAACUGUUUAUUAAAAACACAGCACUGUGCAAAAUCGCAAGAUGACGUAUACGGUGUGACGCCUGCCCGGUGCCGGAAGGUUAAUUGAUGGGGUUAGCGCAAGCGAAGCUCUUGAUCGAAGCCCCGGUAAACGGCGGCCGUAACUAUAACGGUCCUAAGGUAGCGAAAUUCCUUGUCGGGUAAGUUCCGACCUGCACGAAUGGCGUAAUGAUGGCCACGCUGUCUCCACCCGAGACUCAGUGAAAUUGAAAUCGCUGUGAAGAUGCAGUGUACCCGCGGCUAGACGGAAAGACCCCGUGAACCUUUACUACAGCUUGGCACUGAACAUUGAACCUACAUGUGUAGGAUAGGUGGGAGGCUAUGAAGACGUGACGCUAGUUGCGUUGGAGCCGUCCUUGAAAUACCACCCUUGUAUGUUUGAUGUUCUAACUUAGACCCGUUAUCCGGGUUGAGGACAGUGCCUGGUGGGUAGUUUGACUGGGGCGGUCUCCUCCCAAAGAGUAACGGAGGAGCACGAAGGUGGGCUAAUCACGGUUGGACAUCGUGAGGUUAGUGCAAUGGCAUAAGCCCGCUUAACUGCGAGAAUGACGGUUCGAGCAGGUGCGAAAGCAGGUCAUAGUGAUCCGGUGGUUCUGUAUGGAAGGGCCAUCGCUCAACGGAUAAAAGGUACUCCGGGGAUAACAGGCUGAUACCGCCCAAGAGUUCAUAUCGACGGCGGUGUUUGGCACCUCGAUGUCGGCUCAUCACAUCCUGGGGCUGAAGUCGGUCCCAAGGGUAUGGCUGUUCGCCAUUUAAAGUGGUACGCGAGCUGGGUUUAGAACGUCGUGAGACAGUUCGGUCCCUAUCUGCCGUGGGCGUUGGAAGAUUGAAGGGGGCUGCUCCUAGUACGAGAGGACCGGAGUGGACGAACCUCUGGUGUUCGGGUUGUGUCGCCAGACGCAUUGCCCGGUAGCUAAGUUCGGAAUCGAUAACCGCUGAAAGCAUCUAAGCGGGAAGCGAGCCCUGAGAUGAGUCUUCCCUG
rnacentral:rRNA from 1 species